GUGGGGAAUAUUGGACAAUGGGCGCAAGCCUGAUCCAGCCAUGCCGCGUGAGUGAUGAAGGCCCUAGGGUUGUAAAGCUCUUUCACCGGUGAAGAUAAUGACGGUAGUCGGAGAAGAAGCCCCGGCUAACUUCGUGCCAGCAGCCGCGGUAAUACGAAGGGGGCUAGCGUUGUGCGGAAUUACUGGACGUAAAGCGCACGUAGGCGGAUAUUUAAGUCAGGGGUGAAAUCCCAGAGCUCAACUCUGGAACUGCAUUUGAUACUGGGUAUCUCGAGUAUGGAAGAGGUGAGUGGAAUACCGAGUGUAGAGGUGAAAUUCGUAGAUAUUCGGAGGAACACCAGUGGCGAAGGCGGCUCACUGGUCCAUUACUGACGCUGAGGUGCGAAAGCGUGGGGAGCAAACAGGAUUAGAAACCCCUGUAGUCC
rnacentral:rRNA from 1 species